AUUGAACGCUGGCGGAAUGCUUUACACAUGCAAGUCGAACGGCAGCACGGACUUCGGUCUGGUGGCGAGUGGCGAACGGGUGAGUAAUGUAUCGGAACGUGCCCAGUCGUGGGGGAUAACGUAGUGAAAAUUACGCUAAUACCGCAUACGAUCUAUGGAUGAAAGCGGGGGAUCGCAAGACCUCGCGCGAUUGGAGCGGCCGGUAUCAGAUUAGGAAGUUGGUGGGGUAAAGGCCCACCAAGCCAACGAUCUGUAGCUGGUCUGAGAGGACGACCAGCCACACUGGAACUGAGACACGGUCCAUACUCCUACGGGAGGCAGCAGUGAGGAAUUUUGGACAAUGGGCGGAAGCCUGAUCCAGCCAUUCCGCGGGCAGGAUGAAGGCCCUCGGGUUGUAAACUGCUUUUGUACAGAACGAAAAGGUUUCUACUAAUACUAGGAGCUCAUGACGGUACUGUAAGAAUAAGCACCGGCUAACUACGUGCCAGCAGCCGCCGCGG
rnacentral:rRNA from 1 species